UACGUAGGGCGCAAGCGUUGUCCGGAAUUAUUGGGCGUAAAGAGCUCGUAGGCGGCUUGUCACGUCGGAUGUGAAAGCCCGGGGCUUAACUCCGGGUCUGCAUUCGAUACGGGCUGGCUAGAGUGUGGUAGGGGAGAUCGGAAUUCCUGGUGUAGCGGUGAAAUGCGCAGAUAUCAGGAGGAACACCGGUGGCGAAGGCGGGUCUCUGGGCAAUAACUGACGCUGAGGAGCGAAAGCGUGGGGAGCGAACAGG
rnacentral:rRNA from 1 species